AUUCAUGCCCAUAUCCGAAUAUAUCAUUUUUUAUUUCUUAUAUACAUAUCUAAAAUCAUAUCAGUGUAACAGCAAAUACAUUUGCACCAUUAAAUUCAGAUUCUAAAAAAAUUUUGGGUAUCUAUACCCAUUGACAUCUCUAGGUGUACACGAGAUUUUAUAUUCACGUCGACACCCACCAACACCACAACACAUAUAAAAACUUCCAUUAAGGUUAAAUUUGAUAAUGCGGUGGUUAAAAAUACAAAAUUUAUUUUUUGAAAGGUCUAAAAAUUUUAAAACGUUCAUAAUUUUUUCUCCUCCAAUACUUUAAAUUUGUCAUUGUAAUCGCGAAAGAAAAAAUAUAUAGCUACAUGUUUUUUUUGUGAGAGUUACAACUGUAAUUUUAUAGUGUAAAAAAAGAAAAAAUAAAAACUCUUUUAAAGUUUUAGUCUUCCAUAAUAUAAAAAGUACACUUUUAACCACCAUAUUAUCUAAGUUUAGUACUGUUAGGGCGUUAUUUGGUUCACUUCUUUUUUACCCCGCAAUCGGAAUCGGAAUGGGCGAAUCCAUUUAUAGGCGUUUGAUAUACGGGAGUCCCAUUCCGAUUCCGAUUCCCGAAUGGAAUGGAAAUCCCUCAAUCGCCUCUUUUUCCAAUCCGGUCUAGAAGGUCGGAUUGGAAGUUGAAUCUGGGCGGAAUGAAUAUUUUUUAACUUUUUUAAUUAAGAUAUGAGAUUAAAUUUAGAAAUUAAAUAUAUAAUUUAAAAUUUUAAUUUGAACUUGAAUUAAAAAUUUAAAUUAAAUCAAAUAUUUCGAAUCUAAAUUAUGAAUUUGAAUUUAAAUUAAAUUUUAAUUUAUAUAAAAUUUUAUUCAAAUUUUAUUUACAACUUAAAUUAAAUUUAUGGAUUCAAAUUAAAAUUUAAAUUAUAAUUUCAAGUUUGAAUUUGAAUAAAUCAAAAUUUAGUUUUAUAUUUUGAAUUUCCACUCAAACUUCAAAGUUUAAUUUUUUAAAAAAUUUAAAUUUUGAUAUUAUUUCAAAAUUUUGAUGUAAAUUUUUAAUAUUUAAUUUUCAGUUUGCAUUUAAAUUAAUAUAUUAUAAAGAUAAAGUUAGUAUAUUAAUUUGAUUACUUUUUUUAUAUCUAUCUGAACCAAACACCGAGAAUGAUUUAUUCCGAUUCCGAUUCAGGUAAUGAAUCAAAUAGAAUUAGAUAAUGAGUCAUUCCGAUUCCGAUCCUAGCUUAUUUCGAUUUCGAUUCUAAUUACGAUUUCGACUUCAAACCAAACACGCACUUAAUGUGUGUUUCCCGUUUGUUUGAA
rnacentral:lncRNA from 1 species